AAACGUUUUUAAUAUAGGCCUAUAUAUAUAUUUUAUUUUAUUUUACCUUGACCAGAAUACUGUUGAAAUGACACAACGUUGAAAUCGCGGUAAAAUACAGCUCAGUCAUACUCAUUACUCUCCGUCAAAACAACCGAAAAUGGCCAGCAGGAAACACAAUUAACUUUGUAACUCUUUUUCACUAGUUUUAGAAAUCUCUGAUCUCUUAAUUACAGGGGUAAUACCAAAGAUUCUCUAGUCUAAUUAGCAUCGUCUCUGAUGAUUCAAAUAUUCCAGGAAGUGGUUAAUCGACCGGAUGUUGUUUUGUGAUCAGUGAUGCGUUUCCAGGGGACGUUCUUUGAGGGGACACAUUAAACUUUGAGGAAGCAGUGUCUUGUUCAGUGUUCACGGUUUAUAUUGCUGAAGGACAAUUACAAGUCUAAACGGAGAAGAGUCGUCAUUUCAAGAUGUUUUCGCGGACGUAUUGGCAUGUGGAUGUUGACAGUGUCGGAAGUAUUAAUCAAAGUUGACACGAGAAGUUGGAGCGAAUGCGAGAAGAGUAUGCGAUGAGCUGCCUGCCUGCUGCUGCCUACUGCCUACUCCUGCUGCUGCCGCUGCUGCUGUUGCAUCCAAUGUUGGGUAGCCAGCCACCCAUGCAUGUUGACACAGCCAGCAGCGGGCACCCAUGGCACAUGGGGAUGGACCCAGGAGUGGAGGAUGACCCAAUAGGAUGAACGUUCAGCCCACUCACUGUUGACACCAGUGACACAGUAUUGACCAGAUCUCCUGGAAGUGCCCCCUGACGCAGACCCAGUUGUUGGGUAGCCACCCAUGCACGUUGACACAGCCAGCACCGAGCACCCAGGGGGAUGGAACCAGGAAUGGAGGAUGGUCCAAUAGGGUAGCAUCAUGAAGGCAGUUUACCCCUGAAACUUUUUACAAAGGACCAUCAUCGUCAGAGAAGUUCCUUUAACCCUUUAUCUCCCAUNGCGGCCGUGAACGCCCGGCCACCUCUCUCCCAUAACGCCCGCCGACACCCGGAGUAUUUUCAUAGCUGAACAGAAGUCAUCAUGCAGUUUCUACAGCUUUCACUUUAGAUCACUAUUACAGACUCUCAAUAUAUUUUUAUUAUAAAAACUAUUUUGGGAAAUCCUGAACUACAGUGCAAAGUGGCUGAGCUCAAAAGUACGGGCUCACUGCUGCUGCCCAGUAGAAAAUAUCUUUUAAAUGCAGUACAGUUCCUAAUUGUGCGUUCAUGUGGUAAUUACGUAAAUACCAAACACUGACAUCCGAAGCACACAUGAACGCCACCGGCCCUUGUAGAAAAUUUUGAUUAAUGAAUGCACUAUAUCUCUUCUCUUGCCUCCCUCUCUUCUCCACAAGCUCUCCCCUCAUCUAAUCUCUUCAUUUUGCUAGUCCUCAUCUCUCUUUCUUCAUUGUGUUACUGUUUAAGCUGAUAACUGUUACUUUUAAAAAUUAAAUAGUUAAAGAUA